rnacentral:tRNA from 1 species
GGGCGGUUAGCUCAGCUGGUAGAGCGUCUUCUUUACACGGAGAGGGCCGGCGGUUCGAACCCGUCACCGCCCA